UACGGAGGAUGCAAGCGUUAUCCGGAUUCAUUGGGUUUAAAGGGUGCGUAGGCGGAAGAAUAAGUCAGUGGUGAAAGCCUGCGGCUUAACCGUAGAAUUGCCAUUGAUACUGUUUUUCUUGAGUAUAGUUGAAGUGGGCGGAAUGUGUAAUGUAGCGGUGAAAUGCUUAGAUAUUACACAGAACACCAAUUGCGAAGGCAGCUCACUAAGCUGUUACUGACGCUGAGGCACGAAAGCGUGGGGAGCAAACAGGAUUAGAUACCCUGGUAGUCCACGCCGUAAACGAUGAUCACUCGUUGUUGGCGAUACACCGUCAGCGACUGAGCGAAAGCAAUAAGUGAUCCACCUGGGGAGUACGGUCGCAAGACUGAA
rnacentral:rRNA from 1 species